AAUCAACGCUGGCGGCGUGCCUAACACAUGCAAGUCGAACGCGAAAGUCCCGCAAGGGAUCAGUAGAGUGGCAAACGGGUGAGUAACGCGUGGGUGACCUACCUUCGAGUGGGGGAUAACCUUCCGAAAGGAGGGCUAAUACCGCAUGACAUUCCGUGUUUGGACACACGGGUAUCAAAGCCGGGGAUCGCAAGACCUGGCGCUUGAAGAGGGGCCCGCGUCCGAUUAGCUAGUUGGUGGGGUAACGGCNCACCAAGGCUCCGAUCGGUAUCCGGCCUGAGAGGGCGGACGGACACACUGGGACUGAGACACGGCCCAGACUCCUACGGGAGGCAGCAGUGGGGAAUUGUUCGCAAUGGGCGCAAGCCUGACGACGCAACGCCGCGUGGAGGAUG
rnacentral:rRNA from 1 species